GGCGGCAUAGCCAAGUGGCUAAGGCAUGGGUCUGCAACACCCUGAUCAUCGGUUCGAAUCCGAUUGCCGCCUCCA
rnacentral:tRNA from 8 species